UUACAGCCAUAUCAUGUUGAAACACAGGUUCUCGUAUGAUCACUGAAAUUAGGUAAUGGUGAGCAUGGUCAGUACCAGGACGGGCGACGACUUGGGAAUACCAGGUGUUGUAAG